UGCUUAACACAUGCAAGUCGGACGCUUCAUGGUUUCGGCCAUGGGGAGUGGCGCACGGGUGAGUAGCGCGUGGGAACCUGCCCAGUAGUGGGGGAUAACCGAGGGAAACUUCGGCUAAUACCGCAUGCGCCCCGGGGCAACUCGGGGGAAAGAUUUAUCGCUAUUGGAGGGGCCCGCGUCGGAUUAGCUAGUUGGUGGGGUAACGGCCUACCAAGGCAGCGAUCCGUAGCUGGUCUGAGAGGAUGAUCAGCCACACUGGGACUGAGACACGGCCCAGACUCCUACGGGAGGCAGCAGUGGGGAAUAUUGGACAAUGGGCGCAAGCCUGAUCCAGCAAUGCCGCGUGAGUGUGAAGGCCUUAGGGUUGUAAAGCUC
rnacentral:rRNA from 1 species